rnacentral:lncRNA from 1 species
CGUUCGGAAGACAAGUAAUUGAUUGCAUAACAAACGAUUUAUAAACUAAUAUAUCAUCAGUCAUUCAAUUAUGAAGCAUUAAGCAUAAAGUUACUUAUCUCUCCAGAUGGUUUGGUGAAUGAGAAUAUGUUACGAAGGAAAGUCAUCGGUUCGACGGAGAUCAACGUACGACUCUCGGCUUCUUUUUUUUUUUUUUUUUUUUUUUUUCAUCGACAUGAUUAGGGAUUGGGCUUAUUUAUGUAGUAGCCAUAUUUCUCUACAAUAAUUUUUACAAAAACAACGAUGACAUGACUAAUAAGAUUGAUGACAUGGCUUAUAGUUAAUAUGACAUGAACAAUCACAUUUAUUACUGAUAUAUAUUUUUGGUAAACUUUAUAAAAUAUGACAAUAACUAAUACAUUACAUUUAAGGUUGAUUUAUAUUUUUGGUAAACUUCUUAAAAUAUGGUAUUAAUUCAUAAAUCAUUACUAAAAUAAAUAUAUUGAAAUAUGCAUUAUAAAUUUCGAAAUCCAUUAUUUAAUUGUAUUUUUAUAAUUAUACAAUUUUUAUUACUAAUAUUUUCAAAAUUUUCUAAAUCUUUUUAAAAAUAUUAAUAAAUUGUUAAUUGUAAUUUCAUUAGUUUCUUUUAGAUAUCUACAAAUUUUAUAAAUAUUAUUUAGUUAUAAUUUUUAAUAACUAUACAAUUUUUAUAUGAUUUUAAGUAAUUUUAUACAAGUUGAUUUACAACAUUUAACCAAAAUAAAUAGAUA